UUAAAACUCAGAGCAUCCAUUGCACCUCACGAAUAUUUUAGAAAAUGGUUGGAAGUAGUACUGAGAUUUCCAAAAUCGGUACGCAACCGUUAAAAAAGAUAUAUACGAUAAAAUCAAGAGAUUGUUAAGAACUGAAGUAUUUAGCCUUAAUAUUCAAAUAAGGAAAAUAGAAAAAUUUGCUUAACUUUCUAUACAAUGGAAGGAUGGAUGGUUUGGUGGUGAAAGCUGAGUUAGAGAGUAUGAUAUGCUACGCCAACUGAUCAAGAUACAUACUGGCAAUAAGAUGGAUGUUAUUAUAAAUCCACUUGGCGAAUAAUUUCAUACUCCCCAAAGGUAUUAAUAUGAAAUUGAUAUUAUUCCCUUUAAUUAAGUUAAGUAUGCAUAGUUGAAACACAACAUCAAGUAUCUCUUCAGUAAAACUUUCUAAUUUCCAAAAAUUUUGAUAUUUCAAUCGUUGUCAAUGAAAUCAAAACAGUCAAGUAAGCAAAAUAGGCUGUUAUUGUUACAUGAUGGACAAAAAAGUAAUGACUACAAAUUGAUGCUUUCUCUGGUUACACAAUUUUUGUACAGACUUUACUAGGAGAUAAAUUCUUACAGAAAAAAUGAUAUUAGUAAAUAAUAAAUAGAGAAAAACAACCAAAACCGAGAUACAUAUUUUUAUUAAAAAACAACGUUACGAGAUAAAAGGAGAAUUGAUCAAGAAAGCUGUUUGACAAAUUCAUCAAUUCUUUGCAUUCUCUUGCUUGUUCUUCUUCCAUGAAGAGAUCCAGUCAGAUGCCAAAUGGUGAGGCACAACAUGCAACUGUACAAGACCAUCAAUAAGUGUAACUUUGGGAUGAGUUAGAGCCUUUAAAAUAGGAACAUUCUUCCCAACUUUGAUUAAACCGAGAGUAUCUGUGGUAGCAAAAACAUCAAGGCUAUCGGGAUUAUACAGUUGAUGGACGUCCCAUGGUGCAGGCGAUUGGAAAACCGUUUUCAACAACUCUAAAGGAGUACAAUUUUCCGAGACAGAUGGUACAAAAUCAGAUUGAUAAACAAGUGGAUAAAGUAAUAUGGUUGGAAAAAAUAGCUCACUUUUAGGGUCAUCAAAAGUAGAGAGAGAAAUCAUGGCGUCUCCUAGGUCAGGAGGAUGCUCAGUAGUUUUUGUUUUUAUAUGCCUUUCUUGUAGCGCUAAUAGAACCGUCUUUGCAGCAAUUACCUUUUCUUGUGCUACCCUUUUCUUUUCAGAUUCUCUCUUUUCAAAAUCGUCUGACUUCUUCUGCAAUUCUUUGGACAAUGCUAGAAUGGCAGGAUCAUUAGGAUGAACUAAUGAGCACAAGCGGAUACAUUCUUUUGCCUCAUCAUAACGUUUUAAAGCAACAAGAGCCUUGGCAGAUCGGUAGUAGGCUUUUGCGUGGGUUGAAUCACGUUGAAGAACCUGAGCACAGUCGUUUAAUACUUGUCGAUAAUUUUCAAAUAACAAAUUACAAGCAGCUCGAUUGGAAUAACAAGCAAUCUCAAUAUCUUUGUCGCCGCACUUUUGAGCUAAUGCCUUUGUGUAAAACUCUUCUGCAUCUUUAUAGCGUUUUGAGGCAAAGCAUUCAUUUCCAUGUUCGCGAAAAUUUUGAGCUACUUCAUGCGGCUCCCCUUCGUAUGCCAGCGCUUUAAGCGCAUCUAACUGAACAUUAUUUUCACUUUCAUCCCCGACAUCUUCAAGAGAUUGCAUGAAGAAGGGGACUUUGUUGAGUUCGUUGAACAUCUCCUCUGCAUUUUUAUUCUUUGUAUUAGGAUCAACUUCAGAUGAUUGGAACCCAGCCAUAUUUAUAUUUUUCUAAAAAUUUUUAAAACCUGUCUCCUUUUAUGCCUUAAUUGCUGCAACAGCGCGGUGUAUCCAGGUUUAAACGAAAGGUGUGGAAGGUCAAUUAUUGUAGUUGAAAGAAAAAAGAACUACAAUCAGAGAAAUGGAUGACUGCCAUAGCUGAAUACAGUAAUGCAAACAGAAGACCAAGGAAGCGAAUAAAUUAUAAUACGAUUAAUAGCAAUAAGAAGGUUUAGCUAUGCUCCGCCAAUGCUUGGACAUCUCAAUUCACAAUAAAAUUCCGAGCUACGGAUAUUUAAAACAUCUCAAUUUUAUUUCGGUAGAGAAAAACUAUUCAGACACCAAUGACUACAACAGUGUGUUUGGUGAAUUUCGCUGAUGAAUAGAAGUGAUUCCUACUUUUGAAAUAAAAUCGUGAGUUACAUAUUAGCAUUUAUAUAAUUAGCUGGAGAG